rnacentral:sRNA from 1 species
AGUUUAUCUUUACGUUUUCUUCUCUUUUGACACAGAAAUAGCUAUUAGUGUAUUCCUACUGAUAAGUUAAACAUAGUCAAUAAUAAAUGUAUUUGUCACUAGCUUCACAUUUGUUUGGCCACUUUUUAGAGAAUCUUCAAUUAAAAUACAAAAGCACAAGACCGAAGAACCUGAAAUUUUGUUUGGAUGUUUUAACGGAAUUAUACCUAGUAUAUUGAUUGUGAUUUUUGUUUUACGUCCAUGAAGAUGUUUAUGAGCUUGAACAUGUUAUCCUAGAGAGACUUGCCUCUUUUAAACAAGUUUCCUUAAUACGCAUAGUACAAUUAUAUUUUUGGAUUAGUGUACUGUCAGCCUUCAAAUGCUAAGGUAAUGUAAAAAUUAUUGAAUAUAGGCACACUUUAUCAAUUUUUGAGAAGCCUUUUUAACGAAAACAGAGUUCUAUCAUUUUAUUGUUGACUCAAUGUAAUAACACAAUUUUGUCCAAUGAUAAAGUAAAUUAAUGGAUAUAUGUGAUAAAAAAUAAACCAAUCUAAGAAAUAAUAAAAAAAUAAAAUUCUUCUGGUCAUGAAACAAAGAACUAAAACAUGAUAUAAAAAAUUAAGCAAGAUAAACUGGAAUACAUGAAAUGUAUUCUACCUUUACACCAAACGUUAAUAAUAACCUUAAGUUAUCGUCUGCACAAAUGAAAUAAUAUAUAUGUUUCUAAAUUAAUUUUUUUGUUAUAUCAAUAUGUACUUAUUAAUUAUAACAGUGAAGAGACAACAAUAAAGCCUAUAUGAAUUGGCGGUGAUAAUGAGUAUGGUAUUAGUCGACAAAUUGAUGAUAAUUACAACAUGUUUCGAUAUUUCAACAAGCAGUUUUGUUUGUCAAAAAAGAGAAGCAAUACGGAGAAAACUGUUUUUAUUUAAAUUUGGACUGCUUUAAAUACUUUGUAUUCAAUUUCUUCAUCAGUUACAUUGGUAUCCGAAUACGCCAACUAGAUUCAUAAUCACUUCCUUUUUAAUUUUAUAUACUAUUUCCAAAAUUGUCAUCAGCUGCUUAUUGAAAUGUGUUCUCACAUAGAAUUAAGUCUCCCUGAAUUAGAUAUUUUUAUGACAAAGGAAAACGAAAAAAGUUUUAAAAAAAUUAUUUUGCGUAAUGUGUUAUAUUUUGUUUUGCAUUUCAUUACUACUGUUAGUUUAGAUCAUCUGUAAUACCAAUGUUUAAACAAUAAAUUAGACACUUAUUUUUCUAUGUGAAUUAGUUAUAGUUUGUAACAAUAAAAUUUUGGAACAC